rnacentral:ribozyme from 11 species
UUCAUUUCUGUCCUUUCUUUCUUUCUUUCUUUCUUUCUGUUUUUUUGAGUCGUUCCUUCAUCCGAUGGCAUGUGUAAAAGGAAGAGAAGAAAAGA